rnacentral:SRP_RNA from 1 species
ACAUGGGCGAGUCUUAUACGACCAGCUCCUGCAGAACUCCCCCAGGACGGGAACGUAGCAAGGGUAUGCGGUUGUAGCGGUGCGAUAUAAUCCGCUCGCCCACC